AGAUUGAACGCUGGCGGCAUGCUUUACACAUGCAAGUCGAACGGUAACAGGCCGCAAGGUGCUGACGAGUGGCGAACGGGUGAGUAAUGUAUCGGAACGUGCCCAGUCGUGGGGGAUAACGCAGCGAAAGCUGCGCUAAUACCGCAUACGAUCUAUGGAUGAAAGCGGGGGACCGUAAGGCCUCGCGCGAUUGGAGCGGCCGAUAUCAGAUUAGGUAGUUGGUGGGGUAAAGGCUCACCAAGCCAACGAUCUGUAGCUGGUCUGAGAGGACGACCAGCUACACUGGGACUGAGACACGGCCCAGACCUCCUACGGGAGCAGCAGU
rnacentral:rRNA from 1 species